rnacentral:rRNA from 1 species
UACGUAGGGUGCAAGCGUUAAUCGGAAUUACUGGGCGUAAAGCGUGCGCAGGCGGUGAUGUAAGACAGGUGUGAAAUCCCCGGGCUUAACCUGGGAACUGCAUUUGUGACUGCAUCGCUGGAGUGUGGCAGAGGGGGGUGGAAUUCCACGUGUAGCAGUGAAAUGCGUAGAGAUGUGGAGGAACACCGAUGGCGAAGGCAGCCCCCUGGGUUAACACUGACGCUCAGGCACGAAAGCGUGGGGAGCAAACAGG